AUUCUCGCUCUCGGCUCUCGCAGUCUCGCCCUCGCCAGUGUCGCCACUCACCAGUCCAUCACAGAUUCACAUCGCCACCGCACCACCGCGCCACGCCGUCACCGACUGUCCGCCUCUACCCUCCGCCCGGCCACCCUCGCCCACGGCUCCAUGGCUCCACCAGUCGGCCAGUCCACCAGGUAUCUUUGAUCAAGUUUCAAAUGAAGCAAUUCUACAAUGGUUUCAAAAUAUGAGAGAGCGUAGAGGAAUAUUAUCAUGUAGUUCAUCAUAAAUCUUGUAUUGUUAUUUAUAAUGUAUUUUGUAUUUGAACAAUGUUAUUCGUAUUUGAUAUUUUGUAUUGAACAAUGUUAUUCGUAUUUGAUAUUUUGAACAAUUUUAAAUUCA